GACGAACGCUGGCGGCGUGCUUAACACAUGCAGGUCGAACGGAAAGGCCCUGCUUUUGUGGGGUGCUCGAGUGGCGAACGGGUGAGUAACACGUGAGUAACCUGCCCUUGACUUUGGGAUAACUUCAGGAAACUGGGGCUAAUACCGGAUAGGAGCUCCUGCUGCAUGGUGGGGGUUGGAAAGUUUCGGCGGUUGGGGAUGGACUCGCGGCUUAUCAGCUUGUUGGUGGGGUAGUGGCUUACCAAGGCUUUGACGGGUAGCCGGCCUGAGAGGGUGACCGGCCACAUUGGGACUGAGAUACGGCCCAGACUCCUACGGGAGACAGCAGUGGGGAAUAUUGCACAAUGGGCGGAAGCCUGAUGCAGCAACGCCGCGUGCGGGAUGACGGCCUUCGGGUUGUAAACCGCUUUCGCCUGUGACGAAGCGUGAGUGACGGUAAUGGGUAAAGAAGCACCGGCUAACUACGUG
rnacentral:rRNA from 1 species